rnacentral:lncRNA from 1 species
GGCAGGGAGAUGCGCAGCACGAGAGCAAAGGGCGGUUACCCAACGGCCUUCGCUCUCAUGGCGUCCUCCUUGAUGUUACCUAAAAAUAAAACCAAGGGUGAUUAGAAGGUAAUCACCUCCUGGUCAUGCUCCCACUGGUCACCGGUGUCCGCGGGGCGACCCCACAUUGUGACCAGAGCAGGCCUGUGGCUGCGCUCAAAGGCGGGAUCGUUCAUAGCUUUCCUAGCGGGGGCCCUGCGGGACACCCAGGCUGCGCUCCUUUCCCUUGCUCACCUGGACCUGAAGUGAUGGGGGAGGUGUAACAAUGCAGUGGGAAUGCCAAAGUGUGUCUCAGCCGUGCCUUUCACAUUCCAAACAAUUCAAAAGCUUGAAGAAAACCUCAGCAGUUGAAACCGUGAUGCAGUUCAGCAAAGAAGUAGCUCCUGUCCUGGUAAAACAGUGAAGUUCUCAUGGACGACCUCAUUGAGAUUUAAACCUCAGACACAGGGAGCUGACCUAUUCACCUUAGAAUCCUCUGGGGCACCCAUUACAGUGUCUGUACCAAGGAGGCAACAAAGAACGGCAGAACAGACUGGAGCAGAAGGACAACCCAGCAGAGCCAAGCCAAAUCACUGACCCUCAGAGGCCUGAUGUGAAUGCUUCUGGCUUCAGUCCAUUGGAUUCUGCAGUAAUCUGCCGAUCUACAGUAUUACCACAGUAAAUAACCGAUAGACCUGAAAACGAAUGCAUGCCUCGUGCCAAAAUUGCAGGAAACCUCACCAGCAGAAACAAUUUUAUAUGAGGGAAUGUACUCUCUCCUUUGCAUUUUUCCUCAAAUCUAUAUUUUUAGCCCCUCACUUGUCUCUACAGAGCCUCAGUUGCUUAAUCUAAUUGCUGACUGAACAUCUCCAGGAAACUGUGUGUACGUGUUUGUAUU